ACAGAGAGGAUGAUUCAGAGAAAUACUGCGAACUGGAUCUGGAGAUUAGCAGGCUCUUAUCAGUAUUACUUUGGGUGAAAGAACUGGAGGUGGCUCGUUGUUGUCGAUCCAGUGUUACGUAUUGAGAGGAAGAUCCUGCCUCUCGAUUGUAUUACUGUUCAGACUUGCCUUGCUAAGUGUUUGGGCCCUCUGGAUGAAUGACUAGACAGACUCAGAGUGGCCAAGGAAACUGAAACUAGGCACAUCACGGUCCUGCUACUCCAUAGCUGAUCAGCUGGAGCUGAACCCUGAUUUCUCCCACACCUGGCAAGAAUUACACCUGGAUGGAUGUAGGCAACCUGAUGGAAAACAUUAUGUUAGAGUGGAACAUGCUUCGCAUCACAGAUGUGGUGUACAACC